GCUGACGAGCGGCGGACGGGUGAGUAAUGUAUGGGGAUCUGCCCGAUAGAGGGGGAUAACUACUGGAAACGGUAGCUAAUACCGCAUAAUGUCUNCGGAGCAAAGCAGGGGACCUUCGGNCCUCGCGCNAUCGGAUGAACCCAUAUGGGAUUAGCUAGUAGGUGAGGUAANGGCUCACCUAGGCGACGAUCCCUAGCUGGUCUGAGAGGAUGAUCAGCCACACUGGGACUGAGACACGGCCCAGACUCCUACGGGAGGCAGCAGUGGGGAAUAUUGCACAAUGGGCGCAAGCCUGAUGCAGCCAUGCCGCGUGUAUGAAGAAGGCCUUCGGGUUGUAAAGUACUUUCAGUNGGGAGGAAGG
rnacentral:rRNA from 1 species